UUUUGACUUUGGUUAUUUGAACCAGAUUAAAAAAGAUGGUUGUAUGGUCGAAUGACCCAUCCGGUGUUUGAUGGACUAGUGAAGAACCGACUUGUUAUCCUUCCACCGACAGGAGAGGGAAGUGUUCGCUGCUCUGUGAAGCCAGCCUAGCGCAAUGCCCUCCUCUUUAGGGGAAAUGAACUCCUGGCUUUCGCCCAAAGCCCAUGACCCUGCUCCCUACUUGGAAUGGGCAGGCCAGUGUAUAACCCCAUGCUAGCCCAACCUUCUGGCCCAAACCAACCUCCAACCAUCUUAUGGCUCCCACUUGGGUUACAGGCCUGCGCUACCAGACCCAGCUGAAAGUGUGACCAUCUCCCUGGGUUUCUAAACAAACACCGGCUCCAUUCCCUGGACAAUGUGCUACUCACAUUGUAAUUCUGAGGUACUCCACGGCUUGUGACUAACAAUGUCAGCCUCUUUAUGUAUGAUGGAGAGAAAUAACGAAUACAUAGUUCAAAGCAUCCGGAAAUUUUUUUCUGUCCAAGGAUUUAAUUCAACUGCCUCUGCUUCGCAGUCCUCCACCUUCUGAAAGUUGGGAAGAAGAGAAUAAAAGAAGCGAAGGAGUGUGUAUUGGCUGGUUCCAGGAAGCAUGUAAUGGCAUUACUCUGAAUGCUGGUUUCUUGGUCAAGUGAAGCAUGAGAAGGUAACUUGUAUUCAUGCAACUUUAAUUUUAAAUCAUUUUGAUUACGUAUCAUUAUAUUAAUCAGUUUCUCCAAGUUCAUUUGAUAAAAAAGAAUCAAGGGUAUGUAAUGGCAUUACUCUGAAAUGCUGGUUUCUUGGUCAAGUGAAGCAUGAGAAGGUAACUUGUAUUCAUGCAACUUUAAUUUUUUAUCAUCUUGAUUACGUAUCAUUACAUCAAUCAGUUUCUCCAAGUUCAUUUGAUAAAAAAGAAUCAAAGGUUAGGUAGACACCCUGCAACAACCACCUUAGUCCUGGAACAAAUUUAUUGCUAAUUUGGGGAAAAAAAUUUGGACCAUUUCCCGAUUUGUGCGUGUCAUCCUUGCGCAGGGGCCAUGCUAAUCUUCUCUGUAUCGUUCCAAUUUUAUCGGAUGUCCCCGAAGGGACAGAUACAUGAGUCUGGACUGUGUUAUAUGAAUACAUUAGAGUAACUAACAUUAGCCUAUGUGGGACAUUUAUUCAAUAUCUCAGGAAAGUUGUCCUGGGGGACCAUUACAGAAUUCGAAAAGUCCAUACUUCUACACAGUCUCGAGUCCAACUUUCGGAAUCGCCAAUUAUAAGUUAUAUGUAGUGCAGAAAUGGGUGAUUUGAUGGAAAUCUUUUGUUCAAAUAAUCCUAUCUAUCUAUGUACUGAUGUCAUCUCAACACCAAGUCAUGUUAUUACAAAACUGUAUUUCGUUUGUCGAGAAUGUUUCGAAUUUGAAAGUCCACUAAACAACGUGGACUUAUAUUUUGAAAAUGCUUAAUCAUAGCUUUGGUAAAUAUAUUCAUGUAAACAUAGGCUGCAUAUUGGACAAAAAUAUUUGAACUGAACUAUAGGGGACGAUUCCACUGGAACUUCCCUCCAAAAAUGGUCGUAUGCCACUAUGCAUAUUGGACAAAAAGAUUUGAACUGAACUAUAGGGGAUGAUUCCACUGGAACUUCCCUCCAAAAAUGGGCGUAUGCCACUAUAAGUAGCGAGCACACGGUAUUCUUUAGUAAAAGGCGAAAGAAUAGUUCGCUUUUGUGCUCACUACAUGGCUGCAUGAGAUGAUACUGAAGUUUUGUGCCCCUUGAUAUUGCUGUGAGAGGAGCGAGUAUGAUUAUACUUUUCAAUAUGGGUCUUUUUGGUCCUAUCGUCUGAGCAGACCUGUUAUCGAGCAUUCUUCACUUUGGUUUUCUUUUCCCUGCGAAUCUCUUAAUAGAGAUAUUAGUUUCAGUGGAGCCAAAACAGUGACAAACUUGUCACCUUUUUAAGCUGCAUGAAGGUGAUGAACCAAUUGCUGCAACAUGCCCUGUCAUGGCUCUGCUUGUGGAGUGCAAAAAUUUAUCCUGCCUCAAGAACCUAGGCACUCCUAAGACUCAUCUAGAACCUGAUUAAAUGCCAAGUUCAGUUCAUUCAUUCAUGCCUUUUACGACCCUCCUCCUAGGAACAAGCAUGAUGUCUGCGCCAAUUUUUCUCUUUUAGUAUUCGACCCAAUACAGGCACAGAAACUUCUGCACUUUCAAAUGUACCAACAAAUUUGGUAACCAAAACCAUCAAGAUUCAACCAUUAGAAUUGGGGCAUGUUCACAGUAACUUAAUUUAGCAAAAUAUAUUUGAAUACUUGAUUUGGUGGGGUGUGCCAGGCCCGAGCAGUGGUGCGACACUUGGGCGACACGCGAAGACCCCAAUAGCAAGCUAUUGUGGUGGGACUUCCCCCUUAAAAAAUUAAUUUAAUAUCGUGUGGACCUAUGGCCCACAUAUCAGAUAUUAAACUGAUAAGAACAGAUACUACACUUGAUCUUAGCCAAAAGGCCGAGAAAGGUAUGACUCUUUUCUAUGUGUGAUUCUCUCUUUAAAGCUCAGCUCUUGUACCUCUGCCAAAUAUAUCUCGAGAUGGUACAAGACACUUCAAGAAUAUCAUGUUCUACAUUCACUGCUUGCAAGAAGACAGCUUGAGCAAAGAUAAUAAAUGUUCUAAAACUAAUUGGACUUCAGCUGCAGGGGACGAUUCCAUUGGAAUUUCCCUCCAAAAAUGGUCAUAUAUUCAGAGUUAAGGCAAAAGAAUAGUUUGCUCUGUGCUCACUACAUGCUGGGUGAAACAUAUGUGCAGCUAGUGACACUUCAUAUUAUUGUGAAAGGGGAGUGCCUAUGCUAGACUUUUCAAUAUGAGUCUUUUUUUGCCCUUUUGGUACUGUUUUUUGACCAUGCCUGUUGGUGAAAAUUCUUCUUACUUGGCUUUGUUUCCCUGCAAAUUUGUUGAAGAUGGUAGUUUUUGGUCGAGCAGAGUUUCUUGGUUUAUAACAGUGACAAACUUGUUAAUUUUUAAGUUGCAAAGGGUGAUGAAUACAUGUCCAGUGGACAGGAAAAACUUAUAUCACCAUGGGAACCUUUCGGUUCAUUACGAGACCAGCUUGAGCAUUAUGAUUAACUGCAAUAUUUGGUUCAUUCAUCCCCUCAAGACCCUACCGUUUUGCAAAUAAUAUUGGUUCAUUAACCCUUUAGGUCCCUACUCAUGAUAAAACAAUGAUAUUUGCUGAUAAUCUCUUUGUUUUGUCAAGCAGUAGUUCAACACUGAGGCGCGUGAAGACCCCAAUAGCAAGCUAUUGAGAUGCUUCAGAAUAUAUUUAUGCUUUCAAGAAGUUAGUUAAUGCAGAUGCUGUCUAGUCAGUAUAGCAGUCCCAAUACAAAGAGGCAGGUGACCAGCUCUGGUGGAUGAAAUGCGAGUACAUAACCAGAUCAGUUGGUCAUUUAAGCAGUAGUAGAGUAACGUCUCCAGACGGAGUCCUGGCUGGGUGGUCUGUCAGUUCUCUGACAUACUCCUAUGCCUUGUCUCCAGUCAUAACUGACCCUGUUUUUUAAUUCAUGAUCACCCUUUGAAGUUUGAACCUAUCCAGGUGUGUAUGUUGCAUGCUACUGUGUGCAUCCAGUUGCGGAACUUUGAUAGCAAAAUGGCCUAAAGGAGAAAGGUCUUCCCUUGGACAUAACUCCACAACCCUCUACUUCCAUUUCCAAGCCUCGUGUUCAGAUUCAAACAACUGCAUGUUCGAGCAGUGAUUUCGUUACAGUGGGAUGUGUUUUAAAUUCCAGGUCAUUUUUUUGCUCCUUAUGUUUUCUCCAAAGUUUGUUCAAUUCUCCGUAUAUGAUACUAAUUCUUUUGCUUUCCCCCCUUUCUGGAACGUGUUAUGACUAUUUAGAAUAUAGCUGACAUGAUUGUUUGUGGAUAUGCCACAUCUUGGAAGUGUGAGUUAUUACUGACGUAUAUGUAAAAAUCAAGUUACCAGUGGAGGCAUAAAAUCAGGAUGCGUAGCAAUUGUCUUUUC